AGUCAUUAACUAAGGAAUACUCCCAUGAAUCUGUCUCCACACAUGUAUAACAAAUAUUUUCUUCUUGGAUUCAUGCAUGCUUGCAGAGAACAUGUGGCUGAUUUUGUCCGAACAUAUUUUAUAGGAUGAAUAGAAAAAAUCCAUUUAUAUCAAGUGUCGCCAAUCAAUUUCCAAAUUUUCAAAAGAACAUAAUUUCCCAGGUUUUGUGAUAGUUCACAUUAGUUUGUAAACAGGCUUGAAGGUUGUUAAAUUGGUGAAUGAAUUUAGUGUGAUGGACAUUAUCCCUACCUCUGGAUCUGCAUGGAGAUUAGCGCUUCAACAAAAGGGACCGUUGCCCCUGACAUCUUGAAACUUGGUCAGAUAGUCAGAUUGUGAUAAUAAAAGAAUGGUGCAUGAAUUGUGAUGUAGAUUUGAAGGUGACAAAUUCGACUGAUUUUGCACUGAAAACAUUCGACAAAAUUGAAGAUGUUCACUAGUUUGUGAAAUGAAAUUUAGUAAAAUCAGAAGGAAAAAUAUCCUAACCUCUGGAUCUGCAUGAAGGUUCCUUCUCAGACAUGAGGGCUAAAUGCUCUAACAAAACAAAAUUUGCAAUAUGGUUGGAUCAGGACAAAGAAUGAAGGUAUGGUGCAUGGACCGCAAUGUAGAUUCAAUGGUGAGAUAUUCUACCAAUUUCCCAUUAAAAGCAUUUGAAUGAAAUUUAUUAGUUUAUUAAUUCAUUGGAUUUCCACCAAAGGGAUUUGAAUGAAAUUUAGUAUUUUAUUAAUACAUUGAUUCACUAACAUUUGAACGAAAUUUAGUAGUUUAUUAAUACAUUGAAUGUGCGUGGUGAUUUGUGCUCCAGCAAGAGGGUUCUUGCCCCUGCAUCUCGGAAAACUUGGUAUUGAGACUAAGAACAAGUGGUGCAUGAAUCAUGAUGUAUAUUCAAAGUUGAGAAAUUGGGCAGAAGUUCCACUAAAAAUAUUUGACAAAAUUAAAGAUGUUUGUUAGUAUGUCAAAUGAAAUUUACUGAACUCAGCAGAAUUCCUGAUCUACAUGAUGGUUCGUUCUCAGAUAUGAGGGUUCAAAGCUCGGACAUGCAGCUAUCUUCAAGAACAAUACAAUCAGAUUGAGACAAAGGAGGGAGGUUGUGGUGCAUGAAUUGUAAUGUAGAUUUGAUAUCGACAACAUUUCAAAGUUUGUUAAUAUGUUAAAUGAAAUUACUAUGAUGAACAUAAUGCUUGAUCUCUGGAUCUGGAUGGAUAUCCCAGACAUCCUUAUAAACUUAGUUAGAUUGACAAAAAGGGGGGGAAAUAGUGCCCAAACCGUGAUGCAGAUUUGAAGGUGAGAAAUCCGACUGAUUUUCCACUAAAAACAUUCGACAUAAUUGAAAGAGUUUUUUUACUUUGUCUUGUCGAAUGAAAUUUAGUUAAACCAGUAGAAUUCCUGACCUCCGUAUCUGCAUGAAGAUUCAUGCUUAGAUAUGAGUUUUUUACUAUACGAAUGAAAUUUACCGAACUCGGUAGAAUUCCUGACUUCCAGAUCCACAUGAAGUUUCGUGAUCAGAUAUGAAGGUUCAAAGUUUUACAUGCUGAACGUUACGAUCUUCAAGAACAAUACAAUCAGAUUGAUAGAAAGGAUGGAGGUUGUGGUGCAUGAAUUGUAUUGUAGAUUUGAUAAUGAGAAAGUUGAAUUUGUUUUUUUGCACUAAAAGCAAUUGACAAAAAUUUCAUACUCCCUCCGUCCUAAAAAGGAUUUCUCAAACUUUUCAAAAUAUGGAUGUAUCUAGACACAUCCAUAUUUUGAAAAAUUUGCGCCAUAUAUGGAGUAGUUUAGUUCGUAAAAAAAAUCAUAGUUUAUUACGGAGCAAUAUGUUAA
rnacentral:lncRNA from 1 species